rnacentral:lncRNA from 1 species
GCGGCCGCUCCUCAGGUCCGUGAAGUAGGCAUUGUCGAAUCGGAGAGGGGUCUGGGAGUCGAGAGGGGAGAAAUUCUCAUCGCUUGAGGGCGUGUCCGGGCAGGAUUCACGGAGGGAUUGGAGCAAAUCCUUGUCCAACGCUGGAUCCGGCUGCCCCGUUCCCAUGAAGUCGUAGAGGCGAUCCUUGACGACCGCGCAGCGUGUCUGGCCGAUUGUGUGAGCUCCCGAGAGAGCUACCAUUUCUUCCACGGACAGGCCUUUGUUCUCAAACCUUGUGAUGAGCUCUUGGGUGGUGGCGUUGGCGAAAGGUAUGUCCUGCGCAGCGGCCGCCAAGCUCGCCACCGUGGUGUCUCUUCGGCCAUAGUGGACUUUCCAGUGAGGGCCGUGUGACUAUCACAGAAGAAAAGAUGGUGGUGAGAGCUUUGAUCUCGGCAUUUUCCUUUCGCUCACCGCUAUGACGGCUUCUCUUGCAGCUAGAGCCAAGAGAUCAGCGCAGGAAACCACGCCGUCGCAGAUUUGCUCCAGUUGGAACUUCACGUCGUCGAUGACUUCGUAAGCUCGAAAAAAGUUUGAGUUUGGAGGAGCGCUCUUCUCGCCCAGCCUGGGAGGAACGUCGUCCAGGAGGAUUGAAGCAUCGCAGCCCUGCAAAAGAAGUUAUGCUCCAUCUUUUCGAUCAACUCAAGGUACUAGUGAGAUUUCCCUUCGAACUUUACCGUGACAAAGCAGUCGUGAAAAUGUAGGCGAAGGAGUGAAGCUGCGAUCCCCGGCUCGUCCUGGACGAACUUAUUUACGGUCUCUCGCACUGUGGUCUCGAGAUUGGGACAGGAAUCCUGG